rnacentral:other from 1 species
GCGGUGCUGCUCGGUACGUUAGGUCACCCAUACCCCAGGGGCGAUAAUGUUCUCUUAGGGAGCUGUCCCUGUCGGAGCCCUGGUUUCGGCAUACGGUGCCCACCUGGUUUACCAGGUCCUUGAGGGUUUGACCCGACCGACGGCCGAUUGGCACCGCC